AUUGAUACAAUUUGGAGUUUUCUCCUUUGUCUUACUUUCUGUUUCGGCCACCGCUGUGGACCACCGCUGUGGACCACCACUACUACCAUCUCCGGCUGAAAAAUUCCAGCCAGCCACCCGAUUUCAUAACUCCGACCCGGCGCCACCAUCUCUUACUCGCCGGAGUCCACCAUCCCUUGCUACUAUGGCGCAUUGUUGCGUGAGCUACUGCUCUGUUCUCGUUGUUGUCUGCUACUGCAUCUUGUUUUCAUCUCAUAUCAAUAUAACCUAAAGUAUUAUGUUAUGGGCCUCCCAUCAUUUAAAGUGGGUCAUGGGUUUUAAUUGAGGGAGCAAACACCAUUUGGGAUUCUUCCAGCAAGUCACGUAUAAGUUGUCAACAUAACUAAUUUUAAGGAUUACUAAUUAGUACGGAGCUCAUGGGGGAUUAAGGUUAAGCAUCGAGGUUCGAUUAAGGAGCUCAAGUUGCUCAAAUGAGAGUUAUUAGUGGAGUUGGUAAUUUAUUUUGGAGAUAUCGAGACGAGAAAUUAUUUAUUAUGG